GAGGGUGAUGCCUGCCCAAUGGUUGUAUCUAAAAGCGGUUGAUAAAAGUCGACCUCGUAAGGACAAUUGAAUGGCCGCGGUAACACUGACCGUGAUAAUGUAGCGUAAUCAAUAGCCAAUUAAUUGUUGGCCAGUAUGAAUGGCGCCACGAAGGCCCCACUGUCUUAAGGAAAUUCCCAGUGAAAUUGAAUUCGUAGUGAAGAUGCUACGUCCAAUUUGUUAGACGAAAAGACCCCGUUGAGCUUUACUGGGGCACUUACACGGCCCCGGCCUUCCCGUGCCCGGGAACCGGCCGAAUUUAAAUGGGUGGUUUAGACUAUGUGGCAGCCCCCCGCCGGGGCAGAUGAAACCCCACUCCCCCAUGUCAAAGGGGCUAACCCCCCCCUUGGGGGGGACAGUGUAAGUAGGACAGUUUGGUUGGGGCGACCGCCUUUUAAAGAGUAACGAAGGUGCGCUUAAGGUGCGCAAUUAAUGACUGAAGCCUGACUGCGAGGGGGACACCCCGAGCAGACACCCCCAAGCCCGCCCGAGGGCGGCGGUGGGGUGG
rnacentral:rRNA from 1 species